rnacentral:tRNA from 1 species
GGCGUCGUAGCUCAAUGGUUAGAGCACCGGUCUGUAAAACCGCAGGUUACGGGUUCGAAUCCCGUCGGCGCCA